UACCUGGUUGAUCCUACCAGUAUUCAUAUGCUUGUCUUAAAUAUUAAGCCAUGCAUGUCUAAGUACGAACUAAUUUAGACUGUGAAACUGUGGAUGGCUCAUUAAAUCAGUUAUAGUUUCUUUGAUGGUACCCUACUACUCGGAUAACUGUAGUAAUUCUAGAGCUAAUACGUGCACCAAGUCCAAACUCUUUGGAAGGGAUUCAUUAAUUAGAUAAAAGGUUGGUGUGGGCUUGCCCACUUCUCCGGUGAAUCAUGAUAACUAGACGGAUCACACAGCCCUUUUGUUGGUGAUGCUUCAUUCAAAUUUCUUCCCUAUCAACUUUCUAUGGUAGGAUAGAUGCCUACCAUGGUGGUGAUGAGUGAAAGAGAAUUAGGGUUCGAUUGCAG
rnacentral:ncRNA from 1 species